AACGAACGCUGGCGGCAUGCCUAACACAUGCAAGUCGAACGAGACCUUCGGGUCUAGUGGCGCACGGGUGCGUAACGCGUGGGAACCUGCCCUUAGGUUCGGGAUAACUCCCCGAAAGGGGUGCUAAUACCGGAUAAUGUCUUCGGACCAAAGAUUUAUCGCCUUUGGAUGGGCCCGCGUUGGAUUAGCUAGUUGGUAGGGUAAAAGCCUACCAAGGCGACGAUCCAUAGCUGGUCUGAGAGGAUGAUCAGCCACACUGGGACUGAGACACGGCCUAGACUCCUACGGGAGGCAGCAGUGGGGAAUAUUGGACAAUGGGCGAAAGCCUGAUCCAGCAAGGCCGCGUGAGUGAUGAAGGCCUUAGGGUUGUAAAGCUCUUUUACCCGGGAUGAUAAUGACAGUACCGGGAGAAUAAGCUCCGGCUAACUCCGU
rnacentral:rRNA from 1 species